rnacentral:rRNA from 1 species
CCUACGGGUGACAGCAGUAGGGAAUAUUGGACAAUGGGGGCAACCCUGAUCCAGCUAUUCCGCGUGUGGGAAGACGGUUUUCGGGUUGUAAACUCCUUUUGUUAGAGACGAUAAUGACGUUAUCUAACGAAUAAGCACAGGCUAACUCCGUGCCAGUAGCCACGGUAAUACGGAGGGUGAGAGCGUUAAUCGGAAUCACUGGGCGUAAGGAGCGCGUAGGCGGGAUUGCAAGAUAGAUGUGAAAGCCUAGGGCUUAACCAGAGAACGGCAUUUGAAACUGUAAGUCUAGAGUGUGGGAGAGGUAGGUGGAAUUCUUAGUGUAGGAGUAAAAUCCGUAGAGAUUAAGAAGAACACUCAUUGCGAAGGCAACCCGCUAGGACAUAACUGACGCUCAUACACGAAAGCGUGGGGAGCAAACAGGAUUAGAUACCCGUGUAGUC